rnacentral:snRNA from 1 species
AUACUUACCCGGCAGGGGAGAUACCAUGAUCAGGAAGGUGGUUUUCCCAGGGCGAGGCUUACCCACUGCACUCCAGAUGUGCUGACCCCCGCGAUUUCCCCAAAAGUGGGAAACUCGACUGCAUAAUUUGUGGUAGUAGGGGAAUGCGUUCGUGUACUCCCCGG